rnacentral:tRNA from 1 species
GCCUGGUUGGCUCAGUUGGUUAAGCAUCUGACUUUGGCUCAGGUGAUGAUCUCAUCAUGGCUUGUGGGUUCGAACCAUGUGUCAGGCU